rnacentral:rRNA from 1 species
ACGGGGUAGUAACGGGUAGGCAACGUACCCUCGGGUCGGGGAUAGCCACGGGAAACUGUGGGUAAUACCCGAUAAUCUCUGCGGUGGUAAGUAUCGCAGAGCAAAGGUGUGAUUCCACCGGAGGAGCGGCCUGCUUCGUAUUAGCUUGUUGGUGAGGUAACGGCUCACCAAGGCGACGAUGCGUAGGGGGUGUGAGAGCAUGACCCCCACCACUGGGACUGAGAUACUGCCCAGACACCUACGGGUGGCUGCAGUCGAGAAUCUUCGGCAAUGGGCGCAAGCCUGACCGAGCGACGCCGCGUGUGGGAUGAAGGCCCUUGGGUUGUAAACCACUGUCAGAGGGGAUGAAAUGCGGGAGAGCUAUCUCUUCCGUUUGACAUAGCCUCAGAGGAAGCACGGGCUAAGUUCGUGCCAGCAGCCGCGGUAAUACGAACUGUGCAAACGUUAUUCGGAAUCACUGGGCUUACAGGGUGCGUAGGCGGUCUGUUAAGUAGGGUGUGAAAGCCCCCGGCUCAACCGGGGAAUUGCGCCCUAAACUGGCGGACUGGAGUGAGAUAGGGGUGUGCGGAACUUCCGGU